rnacentral:rRNA from 1 species
CCUACGGGAGGCCGCAGUGAGGAAUAUUGGUCAAUGGACGAGAGUCUGAACCAGCCACGUAGCGUGAAGGAUGACUGCCCUAUGGGUUGUAAACUUCUUUUAUAUGGGAAUAAAACGUUCCACGUGUGGGAUUUUGUAUGUACCAUAUGAAUAAGGAUCGGCUAACUCCGUGCCAGCAGCCGCGGUAAUACGGAGGAUCCGAGCGUUAUCCGGAGUUAUUGGGUUUAAAGGGAGCGUAGGUGGAUUGUUAAGUCAGUUGUGAAAGUUUGCGGCUCAACCGUAAAAUUGCAGUUGAAACUGGCAGUCUUGAGUACAGUAGAGGUGGGCGGAAUUCGUGGUGUAGCGGUGAAAUGCUUAGAUAUCACGAAGAACUCCGAUUGCGAAGGCAGUUCACUGGACUGCAACUGACACUGAGGCUCGAAAGUGUGGGUAUCAAACAGGAUUAGAUACCCUUGUAGUC